GGGUUGUGAGGUUAAGCGACUAAGCGUACACGGUGGAUGCCCUGGCAGUCAGAGGCGAUGAAGGACGUGCUAAUCUGCGAAAAGCGUCGGUAAGGUGAUAUGAACCGUUAUAACCGGCGAUGUCCGAAUGGGGAAACCCAGUGUGAUUCGUCACACUAUCGUUAACUGAAUACAUAGGUUAACGAGGCGAACCGGGGGAACUGAAACAUCUAAGUACCCCGAGGAAAAGAAAUCAACCGAGAUUCCCCCAGUAGCGGCGAGCGAACGGGGAGCAGCCCAGAGUCUGAAUCAGCUUGUGUUAGUGGAACGGUCUGGAAAGUCCGACGGUACAGGGUGAUAGUCCCGUACACCAAAAUGCACAGGCUGUGAACUCGAAGAGUAGGGCGGGACACGUGGUAUCCUGUCUGAAUAUGGGGACCAUCCUCCAAGGCUAAAUACUCCUGACUGACCGAUAGUGAACCAGUACCGUGAGGAAAGGCGAAAAGAACCCCGGCGAGGGAGUGAAAAGAACCUGAAACCGUGUACGUACAAGCAGUGGGAGCACCUUCGGGUGUGACUGCGUACCUUUGUAUAAUGGGUCAGCGACUUAUAUUCUGUAGCAAGGUUAACCGUAUAGGGGAGCCGCAGGGAAACCGAGUCUUAACUGGGCGUUAAGUUGCAGGGUAUAGACCCGAAACCCGGUGAUCUAGCCAUGGGCAGGUUGAAGGUUGGGUAACACUAACUGGAGGACCGAACCGACUAAUGUUGAAAAAUUAGCGGAUGACUUGUGGCUGGGGGUGAAAGGCCAAUCAAACCGGGAGAUAGCUGGUUCUCCCCGAAAGCUAUUUAGGUAGCGCCUCGUGAAUUCAUCUUCGGGGGUAGAGCACUGUUUCGGCUAGGGGGUCAUCCCGACUUACCAACCCGAUGCAAACUACGAAUACCGAAGAAUGUUAUCACGGGAGACACACGGCGGGUGCUAACGUCCGUCGUGAAGAGGGAAACAACCCAGACCGCCAGCUAAGGUCCCAAAGUCAUGGUUAAGUGGGAAACGAUGUGGGAAGGCACAGACAGCCAGGAUGUUGGCUUAGAAGCAGCCAUCAUUUAAAGAAAGCGUAAUAGCUCACUGGUCGAGUCGGCCUGCGCGGAAGAUGUAACGGGGCUAAACCAUGCACCGAAGCUGCGGCAGCGACACUAUGUGUUGUUGGGUAGGGGAGCGUUCUGUAAGCCUGCGAAGGUGACCUGUGAGGGUUGCUGGAGGUAUCAGAAGUGCGAAUGCUGACAUAAGUAACGAUAAAGCGGGUGAAAAGCCCGCUCGCCGGAAGACCAAGGGUUCCUGUCCAACGUUAAUCGGGGCAGGGUGAGUCGACCCCUAAGGCGAGGCCGAAAGGCGUAGUCGAUGGGAAACAGGUUAAUAUUCCUGUACUUGGUGUUACUGCGAAGGGGGGACGGAGAAGGCUAUGUUAGCCGGGCGACGGUUGUCCCGGUUUAAGCAUGUAGGCUGGUUGUCCAGGCAAAUCCGGAUAAUCAAGGCUGAGGUGUGAUGACGAGGCACUACGGUGCUGAAGUAACAAAUGCCCUGCUUCCAGGAAAAGCCUCUAAGCAUCAGGUAACAUCAAAUCGUACCCCAAACCGACACAGGUGGUCAGGUAGAGAAUACCAAGGCGCUUGAGAGAACUCGGGUGAAGGAACUAGGCAAAAUGGUGCCGUAACUUCGGGAGAAGGCACGCUGGUGUGUAGGUGAAGUCCCUGCGGAUGGAGCUGAGACCAGUCGAAGAUACCAGCUGGCUGCAACUGUUUAUUAAAAACACAGCACUGUGCAAACACGAAAGUGGACGUAUACGGUGUGACGCCUGCCCGGUGCCGGAAGGUUAAUUGAUGGGGUUAUCCGUAAGGAGAAGCUCUUGAUCGAAGCCCCGGUAAACGGCGGCCGUAACUAUAACGGUCCUAAGGUAGCGAAAUUCCUUGUCGGGUAAGUUCCGACCUGCACGAAUGGCGUAAUGAUGGCCAGGCUGUCUCCACCCGAGACUCAGUGAAAUUGAACUCGCUGUGAAGAUGCAGUGUACCCGCGGCAAGACGGAAAGACCCCGUGAACCUUUACUAUAGCUUGACACUGAACAUUGAGCCUUGAUGUGUAGGAUAGGUGGGAGGCUUUGAAGCGUGGACGCCAGUCUGCGUGGAGCCAACCUUGAAAUACCACCCUUUAAUGUUUGAUGUUCUAACGUUGGCCCUUACCGGGGUUGCGGACAGUGUCUGGUGGGUAGUUUGACUGGGGCGGUCUCCUCCCAAAGCGUAACGGAGGAGCACGAAGGUUAGCUAAUCCUGGUCGGACAUCAGGAGGUUAGUGCAAUGGCAUAAGCUAGCUUGACUGCGAGCGUGACGGCGCGAGCAGGUGCGAAAGCAGGUCAUAGUGAUCCGGUGGUUCUGAAUGGAAGGGCCAUCGCUCAACGGAUAAAAGGUACUCCGGGGAUAACAGGCUGAUACCGCCCAAGAGUUCAUAUCGACGGCGGUGUUUGGCACCUCGAUGUCGGCUCAUCACAUCCUGGGGCUGAAGUAGGUCCCAAGGGUAUGGCUGUUCGCCAUUUAAAGUGGUACGCGAGCUGGGUUUAGAACGUCGUGAGACAGUUCGGUCCCUAUCUGCCGUGGGCGCUGGAGAAUUGAGGGGCUGCUCCUAGUACGAGAGGACCGGAGUGGACGCAUCACUGGUGUUCGGGUUGUCAUGCCAAUGGCACUGCCCGGUAGCUAAAUGCGGAAGAGAUAAGUGCUGAAAGCAUCUAAGCACGAAACUUGCCCCGAGAUGAGUUCUCCUGAGACUUUAAGUCUCCUGAAGGAACGUUAAAGACGAUGACGUUGAUAGGCCGGGUGUGUAAGCGCAGCGAUGCGUUGAGCUAACCGGUACUAAUGAACCGUGAGGCUUAACCUUACAACGCCGAAG
rnacentral:rRNA from 1 species